AAAGCAACAAACGAGAAAAGAAAAGAAAAGAAAAGAUCGCAGACCUCCUCUUUUUUUGAUUUUUCUCUUUCUUUCUCUCCCCUUUCUCCCUCUUUCCCUUCUUUUACCCACAAACACCUCAAAACAGGUAAUAGCAUGGAUCAAAACCUUGCGAUUAAGAUUAAAUGAAGUCGAGGAGCUGAUUUUCAUAGUCAACGAAAAAAUAGAAGAA
rnacentral:ribozyme from 1 species